CCCCCCACACUUUGGCCUGAACAGCUCUCAGCAUUCCUUCUUCAUCUCCUCUUCUUCAUCUCCUCUUCUUCAUCUCCUCUUCAACCUCCCCCACCCCCGUGGCCCCUCUUCAAGGUGCCGCAUUUCGCAGGCGUGGGAGCAGGUGGGGGGGCCAGGUUCAUUAACGAGGCCUGCGGGAAUGAGGAUUGGCUUGCCCACCGUGCUAACUGGACUGGAGGAAGAAAGAAAAGUCAGAAAAGAGAGAGCCAUGUUCAGCUGAACAGGCAGCUUUCCCAGAUCCUGCUGGCCCAGGCCUAGGGCCUGAGGUGGGUGCCCUGCCUACCCACUCAAGACGAAAGAACACUUAGGAAUCCUUGAUUGUGGGGACGCCUGGGUGGCGCAGUCAGUUAGGGGCCCGACUCUUGGUUUCGGCUCAGGUCAUCAUAUCAGGUCGUGGGAUCCAGCCCUGCGCUGGGCUCCACGCUCAGUGUGGAAUCUGUUU
rnacentral:lncRNA from 1 species